rnacentral:rRNA from 1 species
GGAAUUCCACGUGUAGCGGUGAAAUGCGUAGAGAUGUGGAGGAACACCAGUGGCGAAGGCGACUCUCUGGUCUGUAACUGACGCUGAGGAGCGAAAGCGUGGGGAGCGAACAGGAUUAGAUACCCUGGUAGUCCACGCCGUAAACGAUGAGUGCUAAGUGUUAGGGGGUUUCCGCCCCUUAGUGCUGCAGCUAACGCAUUAAGCACUCCGCCUGGGGAGUACGGUCGCAAGACUGAAACUCAAAGGAAUUGACGGGGGCCCGCACAAGCGGUGGAGCAUGUGGUUUAAUUCGAAGCAACGCGAAGAACCUUACCAGGUCUUGACAUCCUCUGACAAUCCUAGAGAUAGGACGUCCCCUUCGGGGGCAGAGUGACAGGUGGUGCAUGGUUGUCGUCAGCUCGUGUCGUGAGAUGUUGGGUUAAGUCCCGCAACGAGCGCAACCCUUGAUCUUAGUUGCCAGCAUUCAGUUGGGCACUCUAAGGUGACUGCCGGUGACAAACCGGAGGAAGGUGGGGAUGACGUCAAAUCAUCAUGCCCCUUAUGACCUGGGCUACACACGUGCUACAAUGGGCAGAACAAAGGGCAGCGAAACCGCGAGGUUAAGCCAAUCCCACAAAUCUGUUCUCAGUUCGGAUCGCAGUCUGCAACUCGACUGCGUGAAGCUGGAAUCGCUAGUAAUCGCGGAUCA